UACAAAUGACACCAAUAAAGGAUAUAUGAGCAACUGUUAUAUACCAGAAACAGGAGGCAGUUACAAAAUUAAAAAACAAAGACAGAAAACUUGCAAGUGAUCCUGCAUGAGAACUGAACUCCAGACAGUAUCGUUACCAAACAGUAUUCUUUUGGAGGGAAUUCUGUUUAAAGAAAUUGGAGGGAAAAAGUCGAAGAUGAUUAUUUCAAGUGUCACUUUUUAAACCCACUUUCUUCACCGGACAGCCAUAACAUCACACAGCAAAACUCGUUUAGUACAAACACGGAUAUUGUGAAUUUACGGAUAAAGCGAAGUCAUCUUGGAUCCCCAACUACCGGUAUAUAAA